rnacentral:rRNA from 1 species
GACGAACGCUGGCGGCGUGCUUAACACAUGCAAGUCGAACGGAAAGGCCCUGCUUUUGUGGGGUGCUCGAGUGGCGAACGGGUGAGUAACACGUGAGUAACCUGCCCUUGACUUUGGGAUAACUUCAGGAAACUGGGGCUAAUACCGGAUAUGAUCUCCUGCUGCAUGGUGGGGGUUGGAAAGUUUCGGCGGUUGGGGAUGGACUCGCGGCUUAUCAGCUUGUUGGUGGGGUAGUGGCUUACCAAGGCUUUGACGGGUAGCCGGCCUGAGAGGGUGACCGGCCACAUUGGGACUGAGAUACGGCCCAGACUCCUACGGGAGGCAGCAGUGGGGAAUAUUGCACAAUGGGCGGAAGCCUGAUGCAGCAACGCCGCGUGCGGGAUGACGGCCUUCGGGUUGUAAACCGCUUUCGCCUGUGACGAAGCGUGAGUGACGGUAAUGGGUAAAGAAGCAACGGCUAACUACGUG